AUCUGUUCUUAUCAGUUUAAUAUCUGAUACGUCCCUACCCGGGGACCAUAUAUUAAAUUGAUUUUUGGAUCAGGGAGCCGGAACGGGGGCUUGCUCCUUCACUCCACCAUCGACCCGGUAUUGCAUUACCUCAGGUACGGUGC
rnacentral:snRNA from 1 species